rnacentral:snoRNA from 1 species
UGUGCAUGGUGAUUUGCCAUGCUAAUACUGAAUGUCCACACAGCUGGUCUGUGCUGGGACUCAAUGAGUUGAAAUCUGUCUUCUACAGAUCUCAUUAUCUGAUCACAG